CAGUCGCCGCGGUAACACGAAGGGGGCUAGCGUUACUCGGAAUCACUGGGCGUAAAGGGUGCGUAGGCGGGUCUUUAAGUCAGGGGUGAAAUCCUGGAGCUCAACUCCAGAACUGCCUUUGAUACUGAAGAUCUUGAGUUCGGGAGAGGUGAGUGGAACUGCGAGUGUAGAGGUGAAAUUCGUAGAUAUUCGCAAGAACACCAGUGGCGAAGGCGGCUCACUGGCCCGAUACUGACGCUGAGGCACGAAAGCGUGGGGAGCAAACAGGAUUAGAUACCCCGGUAGUCCCUGUCUCUUAUAC
rnacentral:rRNA from 1 species